UUUGACACAGCACAAAUAUCCAUGGUUGAGCCUGCCGAGAUGUGUUGGUGUGUUUGUCGUCUCGAGAUCCGCGAACGUUGCAUGGUGUUGAUCUAACGCGAAUAAAGCUUGACAUUGACCAUUUUAUUUAGUUUUUACGUCUUCGCCUUCUUACUACGACUGAAAGACCACAACGAGAUUGGAACUGUUGAGCCUUCUAUUUGAAUGCCAUGGAGUUUCCAGAUUUGGGGGAGCACUGUUCAGAGAAGACCUGCAAGCGUUUAGACUUCCUUCCCAUGAAAUGUGAUGCCUGUCAAGAGAUAUUCUGCAAGGACCACGUCACUUAUGCACACCACAAAUGCACCUCGUCUUACAAAAAGGAUAUUCAGGUCCCUGUGUGCCCACUCUGCAACAUUCCCAUUCCCGUCAAGAGAGGAGAGAUGCCUGAUAUUAAAGUCGGCGAGCACAUUGAUCGGGAUUGCAAAUCAGACCCUGCACAGCGGAAAAGAAAGAUAUUCACCAACAAGUGUUCCAAAGGAGGCUGUAAGCAGAAAGAAAUGAUGCGCGUGACGUGUGACCAGUGUCAUUUAAAUUACUGUCUUAAACACCGACACCCACUCGACCACGAUUGUAAGACCGAUGGCAAACCUCUGUCCCAGUCCGGACAUGCUGCUUUAAUGAGGGCCCAGGAUUCUUCCUCCUUCUCCGCCUCAUCUUCUUCGGGACACUCCAGGUCAAUUUCUAAUGGUGGCAGCGUGGCCAGCAGAGGCCAAAAUAGCAACACUAGCCGACCCAUGGCGACGUCUGUAUCAGCACAGAAUGUGGUGCAGCCGUCUGCAUCCUUCCAGGCGGGCAUGUCUGACGAGCAGGCCUUACAAAGAGCUCUAGAGAUGUCUUUGGCUGAGUCCAGACCACCCACACAACCCACCCUCAGUCCGCAGGAGCAGGAGGAUCUGGCGCUGGCUCAGGCACUGGCCGCCAGCGAGGAAGAAUACAGGCGCCAGCAGCAGAGACAACAGGUACCGGCCGGAACAGUUAGCCGACACUAGCAUUCUAGCAUGUAGGUUCUUGGCCAACAUGGUGGCCAAUUUUUUUUUUCCACUGGUUGAUUGUAAGCAUCCUUUUUCUUUCUUUUAGGGCCGAGAGUCCAAACAGUCCAACUGCAGUCUUUCUUAAUCUUGGACCCGCUGCUUUUUUUUUUUUUUCCCCCCUCAAGAUGUGGUAAUGUUCCACAAGAGACCUCACAGGCUGGAUCCUCAAUAUCCAGCAAUGACGAUUGUCUUUUAUUAUUUUUCAAUGAAAGGAUCAAAACUAGCUCACUUGCCGCCUUGUAACACUGAAAACUAAGCACACGGCUCAGCUCUCAGCCCAGCAGGUUCUGUCAUUUUUUUUACCAAUGGGUUGCUAUGUACAUAUUUUAUAUACAUAUAUGAUGAUCAUAAAUCCGUUAUAUUGCCGUCUAUGAAGAAUUAAUAAAUUAUUUCAAACAUG